CACUCGUGUAAUGAUGGCCGACGUACCAGAUAAUGCACCGCAGCCGAGUGAGCAGGCAGGAAAGACGUCGUCAUGUGAGGGCUGUCCCAACCAGAAAGUGUGUGCUUCUGGAGCCACCAAGGCCCCCGACCCCGGUAAGAACACAUCUCAAUAUUGUAUACAUGUGUUUUAUGACAUUAAAGGGUGUGGAAAGGCAUGGGAGAAACAGCAACUAGGAAAGAGGAAGGAAAUUAUAGCCAUUUCACAAACUGCUCUCCCAAACUAAAGUAUCCCGCUGCACUUUUGUUUUGCUUUGCCUCGAGGGACAAAUUACGAACCUCAUGAUAUCCCUAUUCUUGCUCUCUUUCUCUCUGUUUCACCCCUUUCUUUGUGUCUUUGUAUGUGUCUGUCAAUAUCUCUCUUUUAAUUUCUCUCACAACAUGUUCCCCUACCUGUCACUCAAGGCAAGUCAAAUAUAUUUUUACAGCACAUUACAACCCCAUGCAAUUCAAAGAGCAUUGCAACAUUUAAAACAUUAAGAUAUAGUGAAGCUUAAACAUUAAAUAAUUUGAAUACAUUUACAAAACAGUUAUUGCAAAGCCAAGAGAAUACAAAUAAAACAAGCUGAAAUAGAAUCAGUGUGUAAAAUGCAAGUAUAACAGUUACAGUCCAGUGUAGGAACAGUUAUUAGAUUUCUUACUUCUGAAGUUAUUAUGUCUUAUAUCAGAUGUAAAGACAUAUUCUGGUGAUAUUUACAUUAAUUAUGUGACCGUCUAUGUUUACUGUAGAUAUUUAAUUGCUCUUUUUACUGCACUUUUAGUGUACAGUUUUACUAUUAUGCUGCUGUGUUUAUUGUAUUUUGUAACUCUGGCACAACAAUUUCCUUCGGGAUAAAUAAAGUCUUACCUAUCUAUAUUCUGACUAGAUAUUAGACAAAUAUACUUGGCAAGAUUUCGAGUUUUUGUAGUGCAUAUCUUUUUAUUGCAUUAAUGUGAUUCAUGCCAAACGUACUGUUAUAGUCUCUCAGAGUGUCAUUAUCAUCAUAUAUGUACAUACAAGAGAAUGUGAAAUAUGUGUUGAUUUACUGUUUACUUAAGAAAAAUAUUUUUGCACACCUGCAGAAAUGAUCCAAAAAACAAUAAAGCACUUACAAUA